AAAUUGAAGAGUUUGAUCAUGGCUCAGAUUGAACGCUGGCGGCAGGCCUAACACAUGCAAGUCGAACGGUAACAGGAAACAGCUUGCUGUUUCGCUGACGAGUGGCGGACGGGUGAGUAAUGUCUGGGAAACUGCCUGAUGGAGGGGGAUAACUACUGGAAACGGUAGCUAAUACCGCAUAAUGUCGCAAGAC
rnacentral:rRNA from 2 species